GGCAGGAUUCCUGGCAGUGUGGAGGAACAGAGGGACCUUGGGGUUCACGGUCCAAAGAUCCCUCAAAUUGCAGUGCAUGUUGAAAAGGAAAAACUGAGACACCUCCUUCUCCCUUAUUAGGAAGAGAGAGAGCCUGUGAUAUGUCAAGCGCCAGGUGAAACGCAAAGUCUUUGAGUCGCAAUGGCCUACUGAAGGAAUGGCUCAAUGAAAAUGAUUUACCGUAUGCAGAUAAAAUUCCACUACGGUGAUGGUGCAUAUACACUCAGUGGCCUGUCGGGAGCCAACCAAAGAACACUGUGAUUUGAAUUAUUGCUGCCAGAACACUGGUCUGGGCACUCAGGAUAUUUUUCCAGCAAG